GGAGAAGUAGGUUAGGUAAGACUAUUGUCGUUCAAUUACGAAGGGGUGAUGUUUCACCUUCUCCA
rnacentral:tRNA from 1 species